UACGUAGGGGGCAAGCGUUGUCCGGAUUUAUUGGGCGUAAAGAGCGUGUAGGCGGCUUUACAGGUCCGUUGUGAAAACUCGAGGCUCAACCUCGAGACGCCGGUGGAAACCGUAAAGCUAGAGUCCGGAAGAGGAGAGUGGAAUUCCUGGUGUAGCGGUGAAAUGCGCAGAUAUCAGGAAGAACACCCGUGGCGAAGGCGGCUCUCUGGGCCGUAACUGACGCUGAGGAGCGAAAGCGUGGGGAGCGAACAGG
rnacentral:rRNA from 1 species